UUGCUCCCAGUUCAGUUGUGUAUUCGAGCUCCAUGACAACGCCGACGGAAACAGCUAAGGGACAUUCUACACACAGCGAGUUUUUUUUUCUUUCUUUUUUUUUUUUGCUCAAGGACUUCAACAAUAGCUUCAGGUCGUCAUCAGAGUAGGAGCCAUGAGAGCUGUAGCUCAGCGCGGAGCUGUGCUGCAGGAAGUCCGAAGGAUCCUCAUCGUCGUCGUGUGCACUGCAGCGACUGAGGUCUUUGGGUUUGUUUCCUCUCUUGCCUGACUUACAGCCAUCUGUUUCCAGUUGCGCAGCCUGCUCUUUGGCUUUACGGCUGCGCUUCCACUUCAUCCGUCGGUU